rnacentral:rRNA from 1 species
GAUGAACGCUGGCGGCGUGCCUAAUACAUGCAAGUCGAGCGAACAGACGAGGAGCUUGCUCCUCUGACGUUAGCGGCGGACGGGUGAGUAACACGUGGAUAACCUACCUAUAAGACUGGGAUAACUUCGGGAAACCGGAGCUAAUACCGGAUAAUAUAUUGAACCGCAUGGUUCAAUAGUGAAAGACGGUUUUGCUGUCACUUAUAGAUGGAUCCGCGCCGCAUUAGCUAGUUGGUAAGGUAACGGCUUACCAAGGCAACGAUGCGUAGCCGACCUGAGAGGGUGAUCGCCCACCCUGGAACUGAGACACGGUCCAGACUCCUACGGGAGGCAGCAGUAGGGAAUCUUCCGCAAUGGGCGAAAGCUUGACGGAGCAACGCCGCGUGAGUGAUGAAGGUCUUCGGAUCGUAAAACUCUGUUAUUAGGGAAGAACAAAUGUGUAAGUAACUAUGCACGUCUUGACGGUACCUAAUCAGAAAGCCACGGCUAACUACGUG